rnacentral:lncRNA from 1 species
GAAAAGAAAAGAAAAAGAAAAACCAGCACAAAAGCACAAAUCAUAAAACCUGUUCCUAUGGCCAAAUAAGCUAUGAACAGUGCUAGUAGCCACUUGAACAAGUGACUAACUGAGUAACCGGGGGUGGGUAUCACCAAUAUGCACCUUCGCGUAAAAAGGUUAGUGACUUUUUCAGGCAAGAAUAAAAAAGUGCUGCUGAAUAAAAUAAAAUAAAAUGCUCAAAGAAGGGCAAGUCACU